rnacentral:rRNA from 1 species
GAUGAACGCUGGCGGCGUGCCUAAUACAUGCAAGUCGAGCGAACGGACGAGAAGCUUGCUUCUCUGAUGUUAGCGGCGGACGGGUGAGUAACACGUGGAUAACCUACCUAUAAGACUGGGAUAACUUCGGGAAACCGGAGCUAAUACCGGAUAAUAUUUUGAACCGCAUGGUUCAAAAGUGAAAGACGGUCUUGCUGUCACUUAUAGAUGGAUCCGCGCUGCAUUAGCUAGUUGGUAAGGUCACGGCUUACCAAGGCAACGAUGCAUAGCCGACCUGAGAGGGUGAUCGGCCACACUGGAACUGAGACACGGUCCAGACUCCUACGGGAGGCAGCAGUAGGGAAUCUUCCGCAAUGGGCGAAAGCCUGACGGAGCAACGCCGCGUGAGUGAUGAAGGUCUUCGGAUCGUAAAACUCUGUUAUGAGGGAAGAACAUAUGUGUAAGUAACUGUGCACAUCUUGACGGUACCUAAUCAGAAAGCCACGGCUAACUACGUG